UACGUAGGGGACAAGCGUUAUCCGGAAUUACUGGGCGUAAAGGGCACGCAGGCGGCGCGGUAAGUCUGAUGUGAAAUCUCCCGGCUUAACUGGGAGGGGUCAUUGGAAACUGCCGAGCUUGAGGCGAUGAGAGGGGUGUAGAAUUCCCGGUGUAGUGGUGGAAUGCGUAGAGAUCGGGAGGAACACCAGUGGCGAAGGCGGCGACCUGGACCUGUGCUGACGCUGAGGCGCGAAAGCGUGGGGAGCGAUCCGG
rnacentral:rRNA from 1 species